UUAGCCCCCAACCUACUUCCAUAUUAUUUCUUAUUAACCUCCCCCACAUGACACCGUUCCCAAAUAACACCUUCCCAACAUCUCUUUCAUCCUAUCUCUUUUUUAUCACGCAAACAAAACCCCCAUAUCCUAUCUAUCCCAUCGACAUCUACAAUUGCAACAAUCUUAUCAAUUAUAAUAGUUAAAACUUACGACUGGAAUCAAAGUUCCAUUUUUAUAUUUUUGGUCGAUUGUUGAUUUGUUAUCCCGGUAGGAAGCUUUUUCUAUAUUUUUGUCCGACAUAUCUUUUUUACCUAAUCUGCAUGUUAUUUCUUAUAGUUGCUGAAAGUUCAAGAUCCGGCACUUCCCCAUUCCGAUUUAGAUGAGAAACAAUGAAGAAAGUGCUUCAUCAAAUCAUCCAUGUAUCUCCUCCAACAACCAUCCCAGUUGGCCAGAUCUGCAAGUAACUUCUUCAUAUCAAUUUAAUUAAAUACCACUUGUUUAAAAUGUUUGAUAAGCCUAUUUUAUGAAAGCAUAUAGAUAUACAUACAAUUUGUUAAUUUUCUGCACAUUAUCUAUUUGAUUGAUAAUUAAAUGAGUUCUUCUUUUGUUGAUAAUAAUAUUACUUAUUUAUUUUUAUUAUUAUUGAAUAACCUUCGCCUUUUAUUUUUUUAUUUUUCAAUAGACUUAAAUAUAUACGUGUUACCAUGUUAUCAGUGAGCGAUCCGCUUGUGGUUCUGCUAGCCAAAUUCUCCGCGGUGCUAGUUCGUUUCCACUCGGGUGGUUCAGACAAUGAUCAAGAAGGUUGUGCCCACAAAGUUGCUUACAACAUGGCUUGAGCCAUGUUCAUCAAAGGAGCCGCGCAGCUGUGGGAUUUUCCAAGUCUCGGCUGAAAAGCCUCAACUUCGCAAAGUUGAAUUUAUCCGAGAAAUGGUCAACUGUUAAGUCGAGACUACAUGACUCUAAAGAUACCUACUAAGUCGUGACUACAUGACUCUAAAGGUUUGAGGAAUUGUUUUACCCGGAAACAAAAACAUAUGAGAUUAUGCAAUAGGCUCUAAGGACAUUUUUUUCGAACAAGACUAAUUUUCAAGCAUCAAAGGAAGGAGAGAGCGUGUAAGAUUACUCCGAAGAUGAGAUGAAUUACUGUUAGUUUGUGUAAACUGCAUAAUAGUUUGUGUAAAUUGCAUAAAGAGUAAGAAAAAAGUUGAAGCUCUCUUCACAUUUCUGAGAAUAUUAGAAAGUUCAUGCUGAAA